rnacentral:lncRNA from 1 species
UAUAUUCGGUUUUUUUUAAAAAUAAAAAUCGAACCGAAUUAGAAAAAACCGUCGGUUCGGUUCGGUUUUUUUAAGACUACGGUUUUUUUGCCCACCCCUAACCCGAUCUGCCUCUUUUACUCACCCACUAGCAGGCUGUCACUCACCCACAAAACUUGUCACGCCACGGCCAUUGUUGACCAGCCAUCAUCGCUGUCACGCCACGCCCAUUGCCGACCAGCCCAUCACUGAUCACAUCGCCGUUGACGGUGUGCUUGACGAUUUUGGACCUUUUUCACCUACGUAGGUAAUUAAAUUUAGCAUGUUGAGGAAAGUUUUGAUUUAUUGUAUUUAUAUUUUAAAAUUAUUAGAAAUAAGUUAUUGGAAAUGUAGAUUUUGUUUGAAUUAUAUAUGAUUAAUACAAUUUAUUUUUCAUGGUAUAAAAAUGAAGGAUUUGGAAAAAAAACUACAAAGUCGAAGAUUUUGAAGAAUUAGAUUAACAACAAUUUAAAUGGAAAUAAUGAAAAAACUGAUAAUGAUGUGGAUGUGAAACCAAAAAAGUAUGAGCCAAAGUUUGGGAUGUUGUUUGAUAAACACCAUUAUCUUCUUAUGAGCCAAAAAAGGAAGAAUUAGAUGACAACAAUUAAGGUAAGAUUAAACUACUUACUUAAUUAUUCUACAAUUAAUUUAAUUUUAAUUUUAAUGUAUCUUUUUAUGGAUUUGCAGGAUUCAAAUGUACAAACACCAUUAUCUUCUGAGGUGGAUAUUGUAGUCCCAACGCAUGAGAGCAAUAAGGAUCCUGUAAGUUUUAUGUUCUUUGAUGUAAUACUAUUUAAUUAUUUUAAUUUUUAAUGGUCACUAAAUAAUGGUCAUUAUUUAAGAACCUGUGAUCGCAUACCAAUUACAAGGAUGUGAUAUUUAUCCAUGGUUUCCUUUUGAUUCUUACAUUGUAAGUUAUAAUCCAAUUUCUAUAUUUAUGCCUAGUUAAUUUUGCAUUUUCUGGAAUGUAAUAUGGUUCUUAUUUUGUACAAACUAGCAAUCCCCAUCACUCCCAUCUAUGUUGCCUUAUUCUUCAUCUUGGAUAUCGUAUAAAGGUUCUCAACAAAGGAGUUUUCAGUAAUCGCUACUUCAACAGAAUGAUAAUAACAAAGAAGUUUGAAGCAGACUUAACAGAUUGAUCAUUGACUUAUUCUUUUGUUGUGUUUUGUGUAUUAGUUGGUUGGAUGAUAUUACUCUAGUGCUCAAUGAUUGAACGUGGAAAUAUUUUGAAGGGUUUUUAUCCAUAUAUUCAAAGGGUUAAGUGUGUCAAUAACCAUUACAACAAUAAGAGUAGUUCAUAUAGAAAUGUCAAAUUAACCACACACAAAAGAAAAAGGUACAAAUAACUUAUUUCUAGUAAUUUUAAAAUAUAAAUACAAAAAAAAACCAAAUACUUUUCUAAUCAAAGUAUCACAUACAAGGUUUCGUAAAGGCCGUGUCAAAAGAAUUUCUUUAACUGAUUAAAUAUACUAAUUUUAGGUGACAAUAAUCUAAUAAUUUUAAACUAAAUUAACUUAAUUUCGCGAAAAAAAAUUCAAAAAACGCAUAGAAUUACGGAUCAAGUCUAAUUAACAAUCAAACGUAGUAACUCAGAUGCAUUUAUGCCAAAAAGAAUGUUCAUAAGACUACACAAAACCACCCAAAAAAAAUUAUAAAAUAAUAAAAGCAGCAGCUGCAAUAGAUUUUGCCUGAACAAGAAACACAACAAAACAAAGAGAAUAAAUCAAUCAAGGGCAUAAAUAGAUUGAACAAAAAAGGGCAAGAUCAGAGAAGAAACUGACCCACGACACUGGAUCCUCCUAAGCCUAGCGUCAUGGUUGCGGUUUUGAUGAUGCGUUAGCUGAGGUCUGACCAAAAUAUUGACAGUGACCUUGUGGGUGAGUGAGAGGUGAACGAGCUUCGUGGGUGAGAGUGAGAGCCGAGAGGGACAGAGCGGGUGAGAGAGAGAGAGGGUGAGUGAGGGGAGCGAUAAGAAUUUAGAUUUUUUUAGUUUGUUUUGAUUAGCUU